rnacentral:rRNA from 1 species
UACGUAGGGGGCAAGCGUUGUCCGGAAUUAUUGGGCGUAAAGAGCGUGUAGGCGGUAAAUUAAGUUGGAUGUAAAAGGCAUGGGCUCAACCUGUGUAAGCAUCCAAAACUGAUAUACUUGAGUGCAGGAGAGGAAAGUGGAAUUCCCGGUGUAGCGGUGGAAUGCGUAGAGAUCGGGAGGAACACCAGUGGCGAAGGCGACUUUCUGGCCUGUAACUGACGCUGAGACGCGAAAGCGUGGGUAGCAAACA